rnacentral:ncRNA from 2 species
GGGGAAGUCCGGUGAGAGUCCGGCGCUGACCCGCAACGGUGUGCGCGGCGACCCCAGGUCCGCCGCGUGAGCCCGAUCGCCC